rnacentral:rRNA from 1 species
GACAGAGGGUGCAAACGUUGUUCGGAAUUACUGGGCGUAAAGCGCGUGUAGGCCGCUCUGCAAGUCGGAUGUGAAAGCCCUGGGCUCAACCUAGGAAGUGCAUUCGAAAACUGCAGAGCUCGAGUCCUGGAGAGGAAAGCGGAAUUCUCGGUGUAGAGGUGAAAUUCGUAGAUAUCGAGAGGAACACCGGUGGCGAAGGCGGCUUUCUGGACAGUGACGUGACGCUGAGACGCGAAAGCGUGGGGAGCAAACAGG